rnacentral:rRNA from 1 species
CAGCAGCCGCGGUAAUACGAAGGGGGCUAGCGUUGUUCGGAUUUACUGGGCGUAAAGGGUGCGUAGGCGGAUUGUUAAGUCAGGGGUGAAAUCCCGAGGCUCAACCUCGGAACUGCCUUUGAUACUGGCGAUCUUGAGUCCGGGAGAGGUGAGUGGAACUGCGAGUGUAGAGGUGAAAUUCGUAGAUAUUCGCAAGAACACCGGUGGCGAAGGCGGCUCACUGGCCCGGUACUGACGCUGAGGCACGAAAGCGUGGGGAGCAAACAGGAUUAGAUACCCCUGUAGUCCCUGUCUCUUAUAC